UCGGCCUCUGCCUGACGUAGAUGUAGUUGAGCUGACUCUCUCGGGAGUAUGUGCUCGCUCGUCAUCUUUAUCUUUCCACCUGUGCACUUUUUGUAGAUUUGGAUGUAACUGUCCGAGGCAACUCGGUUGGGAGGAAUGCUGUCUCUGAUGGCUUUCCUUGUAUGUCCAAGUCUAUGUUUUCAUAUACUCCAAGUAUGUAACAGAAUGUAUCACUGGGCCUUGUGCCUAUAAACUAUAUACAACUUUCAGCAACGGAUCUCUUGGCUCUCGCAUCGAUGAAGAACGCAGCGAAAUGCGAUAAGUAAUGUGAAUUGCAGAAUUCAGUGAAUCAUCGAAUCUUUGAACGCACCUUGCGCCCCUUGGUAUUCCGAGGGGCAUGCCUGUUUGAGUGUCAUUAAAUUCUCAACCUUACUAGCUUUUGCGAAGUAAUGGCUUGGACUUGGGGGUCUUUUUGCUGGUUUCGAAAGAGAUCUGCUCCCCUUAAAUGCAUUAGCCGGUGCCCCGCGUGGACCGUCUAUUGGUGUGAUAAUUAUCUACGCCGUUAGAUGUCUGCUAUUAAAUGGGAUGUGCUGCUUCUAAUCGUCCUUCAGGACAAUUAUUGACCAUUUGACCUCAAAUCAGGUAGGACUACCCGCUGAACUUAAGCAUUCAAUAGGGGGGGAGAAAGCCCGGUCCGACUUACGCAGUUGAGAAACUCUCUGGGAAAUUGUCCCCCCCAUCUUUAUCUUUCACCUGCCCCUUUUUGUAGAUUGGAUUUAAUUUCCGGGCACUGGGUGGGAAGAAUUCUUCUCUAGUGGCUUCGUGGAGAGCCGAGCUUUGUUUUAUAGUCCCCAGGUGGUGAGAAGAUGAGUAUGCGGUGGUGCUUUAUAUAGAUGAUAAAUUUACAAGAAUUUUGUGUUGUAGCGAGAGAAAGCGAGAAGAGAGUGUAGAGGGAGAGAGUAGUUGUGUGAUGUAACCGCCGCCGCCCGCGCGCGCGCGUAGGGUGGGGGGGUGGUGAGGUGUGUAUGUAUAUAUUAUGUCUGCUUUCGAUGACGUGUAGUGUGAUGUGUAGUGGUGUUGUGUGGUGGGUGUUGUGGACUGAUGGU
rnacentral:rRNA from 1 species